GACGAACGCUGGCGGCGUGCUUAACACAUGCAAGUCGAACGGUAAGGCCCUUCGGGGUACACGAGUGGCGAACGGGUGAGUAACACGUGGGUGAUCUGCCCUGCACUUCGGGAUAAGCCUGGGAAACUGGGUCUAAUACCGGAUAGGACCACUGCCUGCAUGGGUGGUGGUGGAAAGCUUUUGCGGUGUGGGAUGGGCCCGCGGCCUAUCAGCUUGUUGGUGGGGGGAUGGCCUACCAAGGCGACGACGGGUAGCCGGCCUGGGCGGGUGACCGGCCGCAGUGGGACUGAGGUACGGCCCAGAGUCCUCCGUGAGGCAGCGGUGGGGAAUAUUGCACAAUGGGCGCAAGCCUGAUGCGGCGACGCCGCGUGAGGGAUGACGGCCUUCGGGUUGUAAACCUCUUUCAGCACCGACGAAGCGCAAGUGACGGUAGGUGCAGAAGAAGGACCGGCCAACUACGUGCCAGCCGCCGCAGUAA
rnacentral:rRNA from 1 species